UCUCAGUUGCCAGGCUGAUGGACGUCAUGUAGACCCGAGGCAAAGGCACGUGGAGGUUCUCUUUGGUCCAGGGCAGGAAGCCCAGGGCUUCGGCAGACUUGGCCCAGGGGAGGUGAUGUGAUGGUUGGCCCUGAGGCCCAGAUGUGCCUGGGCUCUGUGCUGUCAGGUGGAUUUCCAGGUGAAGAGCCAGGUCAGGUCAGGUGGCGCCCAGCUCCCCCUCACAGGCACAGCCUUGGUGGUAGGAUGGCAGUGAGCCGUGGGAAGAAAGAGGAGCAGACGGGAUGGGGGUGGGGGUGGGCCCUGGACCUCAGUCCCAGCUCUGCCACUGAUGCUGGAGGACUUGAGGCAGACCCUUGUCUGGUCUAAGCGUCAAUCUUCCCAUCUGUAAAACGAGAGGUUCUGGAGUUGGAGGUUCUUCCUGAAGUCCCGGAAGGCUUUAAGAACAGUGAUGGCGUCAGGCCACCCAAGGAGCCUUGGGAACCAGCUGGCCUGCUUGACCGAAGGAUUUCCAACGAAGCCUUUUGGGCAUGUUUUCAUGAUUACUUAAACUUAGAGUGUUAAACAAAAAUUUCCUCUGGGGGAUGAUUUUGAGAUAAAUAAAGCAUCUCUGCCUAAGGCAA